rnacentral:rRNA from 1 species
UACGGAGGGGGCUAGCGUUGCUCGGAAUCACUGGGCGUAAAGCGCACGUAGGCGGGUCGUUAAGUCAGGGGUGAAAUCCCAGAGCUCAACUCUGGAACUGCCUUUGAUACUGGCGACCUAGAGUUCGGAAGAGGUUAGUGGAAUUCCCAGUGUAGAGGUGAAAUUCGUAGAUAUUGGGAAGAACACCAGUGGCGAAGGCGGCUAACUGGUCCGAUACUGACGCUGAGGUGCGAAAGCGUGGGGAGCAAACAGG